AGGUCAGGAUGUCUACAUUACUAUUUUCUUCUCUGUUAAACUUUGUUCAAUUAAUUCAUUGGGUAAACGGAACAGAUGAAGACAGAAGCGGACCUAGCUUAUAAGUUAUGGGUUCACGUAAAUCUUUUGUCAAUACCAUGUAUAUGUAUUAACAAAUCAACUACUUUAAAUAUUUAUAAAUAUUUGACUGUAAAAGCAGUAAUUAUUAUCUAUAUUAACUUGAGGUACUCAUCGUAGGAACCAAUAAACUUCAAAUCCUAGAUAUGUCUUGGACGAAGAAACCCUUGAAGGGAGACCAGACUUACAAGAGGAAUUGAUCAUCAGAGAAUGUUUGGUUCGUAAGAGGUCAGUGUCAGUUCAUGGCUGCUGCAUCUUAUUUCCUAAGGUUUUUUUAUUUGCUCCCUACUGUGAAAAGUGAUGUAAAAGAUUUCAUUUCAUUUGUAUUCACAUUAAACCAAGAAACUAGUAAGCAUUUAUGCUCUUUCUAAAGACUCUAUUUGGACAUCUAAAGAAUUUCACAUAUGUUAUUUGAUUGGGACUAUAACAAUAAUAAGCCUACUUUCAUUGGGUAAAAAAUACUCCUCUACUUUUAUUUGUGAGUUAAAUUUGUCUCUCGUUAAUCGUUAUACUAUCGGGCCAACGAGGUAUUAAUUAGGUGGGUUGGGUUGGGUUAAAAGAGGGGUCCAGGUUAUUUAAGGGAAAUCGUGUAAUUUUAGUCGACUUGGGGAAUCUGUCCAAUUGAGGGGCAUGUUUGUUAAGUUUACUAACGGAAAGGGUAAAAUUGACCCUGUAGUAUAACGAGGGACAAACUUAACUAAUAAACGAAAGUAGAAGGGUAUUUUCUGACCCUUUCCUCUUAAUUUAGUACUGUAGAAACAGCAGCAAGGUCCAGCUGAAUCCAGGUAGGGACCCUUUCUUGAAUUAUGCCAGUUUAUUACACUCAACUAGGCCAUCCUAACUAUGAUUUGAUUGUUAACAGAAGAUUAUGUCCAAUGAUAGAGAUAGAUUACAAAAAGAUACUUGAAAAAACAAUGACUAAAUAAGAUUAGAGGUGCCAUAAAUAUGAAACUUAAUGACCUAUUAAACAAAAUAUAUGAAACCUUAAUGGUCCUGACAGACAAGUAGGUGAUGGCAGGACAUUGAAUUGCAGCAAUAAAUGAGACAGCAAAAGCAUUGUCCCUCCUUUGAGGAUUGGUAGGUUGUGUAUGUCUGUUCUCUGUGUUAAAGUCACUUUGACUAUAUUUUUUUGGAUAAUAGGGGUGACUGAGCUAGUUUACGCGUACCUUAACUAAUCUUUCGAGUACUUGUUAUCUCUUACUUAACAUAGAUAUUUGAUAAUUCUGUCUACCAAGGUUUUGAGUUUUGACAUAUGAGAGGAAAUCACUUAGCUUUUUGUUUCUGGUGGGAUUUGAACUCUAAUCUCUCGCGAUUUUCACUCAUUUCAUCGACUGUUGAGUGAUACCAUUGGAUGCACCUUUGAAUACUAAUUUAUGUAAUGGGUAUCUAUCUGUACUCAUCAAUGUCCUCUAGGAGUAAAUGUAGAGAGAGAUGAGACCAAAAAUUAAAAUAAGAAGAACCAUUUUCAUUGGCAUGAGCUGUCAUUUUGAAAAAUAACCAAAUGAGGUAGGUUUUCUCAUCUAUGAUACAUAUUUACACUCUUCUGCUUUUGUGGCCUUGUGGUUGCUUAACUGAUCUUCUACAUUUAUGUCAUUUGAUUAUCUUUUCCAUUUGGACAACUUACAAUUUCAAACUCUUUGGUGGUAAAAAAAAAGAGGAGAGGCUACAAUGUCUUUGAACUAAGGGUCCCUCGGAAAUAGUAUCGUUUGCCUACACUUUAUUCCCCUCAGACUCCACUCGUGGGAUUACACUAGAUUUGUCGUUAUUGAGUAAAUGUAAUGUUUGGUGUGAGGGAGUGAAGUCCACAAAUGCAAAAGGUUCAUAGGGGUGCACUAUAAGUCUAUAAUGCUACUACUAUAGGGUACGUAAGUCAGAAGAAAAGUAAAUGGGGCUAUAUAUAAUCCUCAGUACCAACUAGCUAGUGUAGUAGAUGGAGUUUAUUCUCAAAAUUAAAACAACAACAAUAAUUUUGAAGUAAGAUUUUAAGUAUUAAAUUACUUCUCAACUAAAUUAAAGUAUUGAUACGUGGAUCAUUGGUCCAUACAAUAUUAGCUCUUCAUCUUGAUGUUUUAGAAUAUCAUUACAUAAAUUAUUGUCUCUGGUGCUCAGCCUUAACCACCUGGUACACUACGCACUUAGCCACAUACUCAGCGACAUCCCUCUUCAUACCUUUCCACCAAUAGUGUGCACAACUAUUAUCUUUUCGAAGAUGCUUGGAAUUUUGUAUACACGAUCUAUCGAGGGCAUCAGAUGUCUAAUUUUUUGGUCAGAAUAUCAACAGUAAUAUUCUCGGAUCGAAAUUAGGGAAAGGUCAAUUCAAUAUCCUUUUGGUAGAUAAAGUAACAACUUUUAAGAGUUUCUUCGUGGUCUACUACUCGAGCAAUUAUUUAUUUAUUUGGUAUAGAAAGGAUAGUAGUAUAUUGUAAACUAGAAAUAUAUCAUAACAAAUGGACCAAUAGAUCAUGCAUAUAUAAUUAAUAUAUUUAGAAAUAUCAUUACAUGUGAUUGCUGAUAGAUUAGUCAUCUUCGUGAUGAUCAGUAUUAGUAGUUAGAAAUAAUAUUGGGAAUUAGAUACUAAUCAUUUCUUGCUAAUUAAUUGCUGGUGGUUGUAAAUUAGUAUACUUUAUAUAUAUAUUCUGUUUCCCUGUACAAACACAGUAUCUUCAGAAUCAAAGAAAUUUUAAAAGGAUACACUAAAAUUUUGUUCUUGAUACACUUGACCAGUAAAAGAUUUUGUUUUUUAGACCAUUUAAUUUUGGAUUUGUCAGCACCGGGCUUGCCUAGUGCAGGUUAUCUUUCUUGUGUAGUUUGUCACCUACCCGCAUAAAAGCGGGGGUUUAUAAAAAGUAAUGCACUAUAUGCUCCUUCCGUUUUGUUUUUCUUUUAUUUGAUUCAGUAUAUUAGAAAUAGAUAUUUUUUUUGUUCAUUUUAAAAAUAUCCAACAGUUAAUUAGUUACUUUUUUUAAAAAAAAAAUAUCCUUAUGAGUAACCAUUUGACAAACCUAUUGUUGUACUAGUAGUUAAAUUAAAAAGUUUCAAAGGAUAGUUAAUAAGGAUAAUAUAUCAAUAAAAUAAGGGAAAAGGGUCAAAAAUACCCCUCAACUUUGGUUUAUAGUUUGACCUUACCCUUGCCGUUAAAAUGAAGUUAAUUUUACCCCUCCCGUUACUAAUUUCAUCAAAAUUACCCCUCAUUUGAUAGAAUCCCCAAAAUUGACCCAAAUUAUCCGAAUUUUAAAAAAAAGCCCUAUUCUCUAUUUUUAACCCAAUGCCCCGACCCCUCUAGCUGACGAUUUUGUACAAAACUGUCUUAGCUCUAAAAUUUGGUCUCGUAGUUUCAUUUGGUGUAUGAGUUUAUUUACGAGGAAUUUGGUGGCUUAUUAGAGUCCAUACGAAUUAUUUGGUACAUUUUGGUUGAUCUUCUGGAAAAUAACUCUGAUCCAUAUUGGUCUUUCUGUGGUAACUCUGUAAUUCAAGUAGUGAAAUUCGUAAAUAUUUUUGUUUAUUUGGAUUCAAGUUAAUUAAUUUAUCUAGUUGAUGAAAAGAGGCAAUGUGCUUUUCUGAAUUGUCUUAUUUAAUUCCUAAACUGCUCAAUUUGUAGGGGACAACCAUUUGAGUUAACAAAUUUGAUUUCUCACUGGAGCUAGCAGGCACACAGAAAGCAAAGUUCACAUAGAUGCUACAACAUAUUUCAGCUCUAACUAAUACUCCAUGGUGGCUAUCUCAAAAUGGUUCUACUUCAAUGUUCUUUUUGAUUAAAUUUAAAUUUUACAAAGAUGCUAGUGAACCGGGUUAUCCUCUAGAGGGGUC
rnacentral:lncRNA from 1 species